rnacentral:misc_RNA from 1 species
AGCAGCCGCGGUAAUUCCAGCUCCAAUAGCGUAUAUUAAAGUUGUUGCAGUUAAAAGCUCGUAGUUGAAUUUCGAGAUCAAAUUGUUGGUCGUGCCUUGGUACGCACUGGCAUUAUUGGUUUCUCCCUUCUGACGAACCAUGAUGUCAUUAAUUUGGUGUCUUGGGGAAUCAGGACUGUUACUUUGAAAAAAUUAGAGUGUUUAAAGCAGGCUCACGCUUGAAUACAUUAGCAUGGAAUAAUGAAAUAGGACGUUUGAUUCUAUUUUGUUGGUUUCUAGGAUCGACGUAAUGAUUAAUAGGGAUAGUUGGGGGCAUUAGUAUUCAAUUGUCAGAGGUGAAAUUCUUGGAUUUAUUGAAGACUAACUACUGCGAAAGCAUUUGCCAAGGAUGUUUUCAUUAAUCAAGAACGAAAGUUAGGGGAUCGAAGACGAUCAGAUACCGUCGUAGUCUUAACCAUAAACUAUGCCGACUAGGGAUCGGAUGAUGUUAAUUUUUUAAUGACUCAUUCGGCGCCUUAC